UUCCGAGGAGACACCUGGCAAGAUCGGUCUUCACAAGAACGCAAGUCCGAUCUCUGCGUUCUUGGAAUUGAGAAACAGCCACAGACAUCGCGAAUUUGACAGGCCAGGUUUUUUUUCUGAGGACAUUUUCCCAGUUUCCCUGGAUUCCCUCGUAUUGAUGGCGAGCCUCCCACGUCGACCUGGAAAAUUGUGAAGUACACACAUUACAAUUUAUCCUCAUUGCACCGGAUAAAGUAAGAAUUUGCCAAAAAGUUAAUUCCUUUAUUGGACUGCGAUUUUUUUUUAAUACAGCUGUAAGGACUGAUUUUCAUGAAGGAAAAAAAAACAGAACUUUAUCUGAAUUGAACUGAUUUCACCAAUUUCAGAGUGAACAACGACACUGAUUUAUUUGUGUUAUUUUAUGGUUUCUUUUGUUUUCACUUGAAUUCAUUUAUUGUGAUUUGUGUUUGAUUUAUGACAAUUGUAAAGUGGGUGCACCCUGGGGAUUGUGUAUAAAUAGUUAUGUUACUGAUGUAAGUAUUGUUUACUAAGAAAAAUACGAAAAAGAAAAAAUUCAUACACUCUAAAGUAAAAUUAUUGUUGUAUUUAAAACAUUCCGUUUGUGUCUGGUUAUUACUCAGUUUACCCCCACCUCCUUUUACUUACCUUGUAGUCUUCUGGUUUUAUUGUCUGGUCCAAUAAUAAAUAAAUAUAGUACACCUGUUACAAGAAGCUGUGGGUUGAGAGCCAAACCUGUAAUCAGGGGCGUAGCAACCGGGGGGACGGGGGGGUAUGUCCCCCUCACUUUUAGAGACAGACCAUUUAGAAAUAGGUGAUUAAGAAUGUAAACGUUUGGAUUUCAUACAACUGCCCCCCCGCCCCCACACACACACACCCCACACACACUUUUAAAAUGUCCACUACGCCCCUGCCUGUAAGUUUUUUUUUCAUUUGUUAAAAUUGAUCUAUUACAUGCAUAGUGUCAAGCAUUAACGCUAUGUUGUAGCAAGAACGUAAACAAGGGGAAAAGCUGUUUAGCACUGUUAACAAUUAAGCUAUAAAUUCAUAUUUAUUUGUCAAACCCUUGUAAACACCCACUGUCUUCACCAGCACAUGCAGUGUCUGUCUAUACAGCCGCUUUCCCUGCAUUCUACAUCUCAAAUAACAAGCUUACAAAAGAAAUGUUAACUUUUCAUUUUACUUAUUACAUGCUUUUAACCAGAAUAUAUAUUUCCAACAUCGUGAAGGAAAGCUAAGCUAAAGCGUUAGUGUUGACUUAUAAUCUUUAAUUUGGUAAUAUUAAGUAUGAUAUUGGUGUUUAUCCUUAUUUAAGCCAUGUAAUUGAAACGGGAUUAUUUUGUUUAGAGGGGAGAAGAGAGUUUUAAGGGUCCAGAGUGUGACGGAAAGAAAACAUAGUGAGUGUUGUACAACUUUAUUGAAUUCAAGUGUUUGAGAAUGUAUUUUCAUAUUUCCUUGAAGAUGUUAUGUUCAAAAUGUCAUGUGUUUACAAAGAUUUUAUUGUAUUUUGUUCUUCAUGAUUUGCAGAGGAAAAAGUCAUUUGCAGCUGUUAAUGCUGUGUGUGUAUUUAUCAUUGAGAGCUGACGAGCUGUAAGUUUGAGUCAUUUAAUUCAUUAUAUUUGAAUUCUAAUGAACACUUAUUCACUGAUUUAAAACUGAGUUUUAAACGUUGUUUAAUUGUAGGAGAAUAUUUGUAAAAUGUUCACAUGGCAACAUCUCAUUCAAUGUAUUUUGUAAUUGUAAAGUGAGAGAUUCUAUUCAAUCUGACUUUGAUGGUGAAUGACUUAAACUUGGUUGUUUGUUUUCUCAGCGUGACUGCUGCUACCGUUGUUUAUGUACUAUUUCAGUUUUGAAAAGUUAUUAUCAGUCAUUGUAAUUACAAGAAAGAAAAGAGUACAACACAUUUGGAUAUAAAAAGUCAAAUUUAUUGUUUUCAGUGGCUGUACACAAUCAUUAACUUUGCUAUUAAAAUUGUCCAAAAUUUGCAUACUUAACGCUGCACUGUUCCAAGUGCAGUCUGGAAUAAAAGUCCCCAAUAUUUUCAA